AUCACUUAUUCAGUAGAAUUCCAAAUGAGUAAUGAUAAGCAAGUAGUUAGUAAUACGUGCGAUUUGUACUUGCAAAAAUCAGUGAUACAGAUUUCCGGAGAAUUACGCCCAAACAAGACAAGAAAAAAUGCUUUCCCGAAAAUUGCCAAAAUAUCUAUUAAUAAGCGCAUAAUGUUCAGUCGUUUGGCUCGUGGACAAAUUUUUUACUAUACUUCGGAUUUGAGGUUUUUGAAAAUGAAAAAGAAUAAAGAGAAACCAUUAAAGGGAAGAGUUUUGGAAUGUCAAUUACUCAUCAUUGGUUUCAUUUUAAAAAAAUUAUCAAAAAUUUUAUUGAGAUAACUUGAGCGC